CCCUUAGAUGUUCUGGGCUGCACGCGCGCUACACUGAUGCGCUCAACGAGUUUACGACCUUGCCCGGAAGGGUUGGGUAAUCUUUUUAAAACGCAUCGUGAUGGGGAUAGAUUAUUGCAAUUAUUAAUCUUUAACGAGGAAUUCCUAGUAAGCGCGAGUCAUCAGCUCGUGCUGAUUACGUCCCUGCCCUUUGUACACACCGCCCGUCGCUCCUACCGAUUGGGUGUGCUGGUGAAAUGUUCGGAUCGGCCGUUUGUCGCGGUUUCCGCGGCUCGUGGCUGAGAAGUUCAUUAAACCCUCCCACCUAGAGGAAGGAGAAGUCGUAACA
rnacentral:rRNA from 1 species